rnacentral:lncRNA from 1 species
CUUCCCCGGCCAGCUGAACUCUGACCUCCGGAAACUCGCAGUCAACUUGAUCCCGUUCCCUCGCCUCCAUUUCUUCAUGGUUGGCUUUGCACCACUGACCUCAAGGGGUUCUCAGCAGUACCGUGCCCUCACUGUUCCUGAGUUGACCCAGCAGAUGUGGGACUCAAAGAACAUGAUGUGUGCUGCUGACCCGCGGCACGGCCGGUACCUCACAGCCUCUGCCAUGUUCCGUGGGAAGAUGAGCACAAAGGAGGUUGAUGAGCAGAUGCUGAACGUCCAGAACAAGAACU